rnacentral:rRNA from 1 species
AUGCCUCGUCAUCUAAUUAGUGACGCGCAUGAAUGGAUUAACGAGAUUCCUACUGUCCCUAUCUACUAUCUAGCGAAACCACAGCCAAGGGAACGGGCUUGGAAUAAUUAGCGGGGAAAGAAGACCCUGUUGAGCUUGACUCUAGUCUGGCAGUGUAAGGAGACAUAAGAGGUGUAGCAUAAGUGGGAGAUAUAUUAGUUUCGGCUAAAUAUAUCAAAAAUGAAAUACCACUACUCUUAUUGUUUCCUUACUUACUUGAUAAAAUGGAACGUGUAUCAUUCACUUAGCCAUUAUACGGAUAUAUUUAUAUAUUUUAUGGUAUUUUGUUUUGAUGCGAGCUUCUUGUUUAAAGUACCAAGAGUUUGUUAUAUACACCAAACAAAUAUCAAUUAAAUUUGCUUUCCAUUAAUAAUGGUUUGUUAAAUAUUAAUUGAAUUUGGUAUAACUAUUAUACUCAGGUAUGAUCCAAUUCAAGGACAUUGCCAGGUGGGGAGUUUGACUGGGGCGGUACAUCUCUCAAAUAAUAACGGAGGUGUCCCAAGGCCAGCUCAGUGCGGACAGAAACCACACAUAGAGCAAAAGGGCAAAUGCUGACUUGAUCUCGGUGUUCAGUACAUACAGAGACAGCAAAAGCUCGGCCUAUCGAUCCUUUUGGUUUAAAGAGUUUUUAACAAGAGGUGUCAGAAAAGUUACCACAGGGAUAACUGGCUUGUGGCG